ACCAGCUGACGAGUCUCAAAUAGGACGAAACCUUGUCCUGUAU
rnacentral:hammerhead_ribozyme from 1 species